GACGAACGCUGGCGGCGUGCUUAACACAUGCAAGUCGAGCGGUAAGGCCCUUUCGGGGUACGACGAGCGGCGAACGGGUGAGUAACACGUGGGUGACCUGCCCUCAGCUCUGGGAUAAGCCUGGGAAACCGGGUCUAAUACCGGAUAUGACUCCAUGACGCAUGUUGUGGGGUGGAAAGCCUUGUGCGGCUGAGGAUGGGCCCGCGGCCUAUCAGCUUGUUGGUGGGGNGAUGGCCUACCAAGGCGACGACGGGUAGCCGGCCUGAGAGGGCGACCGGCCACACUGGGACUGAGACACGGCCCAGACUCCUACGGGAGGCAGCAGUGGGGAAUCUUGCGCAAUGGGCGAAAGCCUGACGCAGCGACGCCGCGUGAGGGAUGACGGCCUGG
rnacentral:rRNA from 1 species